rnacentral:rRNA from 1 species
AAUAGAUACCCCGGUAGUCCACGCCGUAAACGAUGAGUGCUAAGUGUUAGAGGGUUUCCGCCCUUUAGUGCUGCAGCUAACGCAUUAAGCACUCCGCCUGGGGAGUACGGCCGCAAGGCUGAAACUCAAAGGAAUUGACGGGGGCCCGCACAAGCGGUGGAGCAUGUGGUUUAAUUCGAAGCAACGCGAAGAACCUUACCAGGUCUUGACAUCCUCUGCCAACCCUAGAGAUAGGGCGUUCCCCUUCGGGGGACAGAGUGACAGGUGGUGCAUGGUUGUCGUCAGCUCGUGUCGUGAGAUGUUGGGUUAAGUCCCGCAACGAGCGCAACCCUUGAUCUUAGUUGCCAGCAUUUAGUUGGGCACUCUAAGGUGACUGCCGGUGACAAACCGGAGGAAGGUGGGGAUGACGUCAAAUCAUCAUGCCCCUUAUGACCUGGGCUACACACGUGCUACAAUGGAUGGUACAAAGAGCUGCGAACCCGCGAGGGUAAGCGAAUCUCAUAAAGCCAUUCUCAGUUCGGA